rnacentral:rRNA from 1 species
UAACCUGCCUUGGAUGGGGAAUAACAGUUGGAAACAGCUGCUAAUACCGCAUGAUGCAGUUGAGUCGCAUGGCUCUGACUGCCAAAGAUUUAUCGCUCUGAGAUGGACUCGCGUCUGAUUAGCUAGUUGGCGGGGUAACGGCCCACCAAGGCGACGAUCAGUAGCCGGACUGAGAGGUUGGCCGGCCACAUUGGGACUGAGACACGGCCCAGACUCCUACGGAAGGCAGCAG